rnacentral:rRNA from 1 species
GACGUAGGGCGCGAGCGUGUCCGGAUUUAUUGGGCGUAAAGAGCUCGUAGGCGGCUUGUCGCGUCGACUGUGAAAUCCCGCGGCUCAACUGCGGGUCUGCAGUCGAUACGGGCAGGCUAGAGUUCGGUAGGGGAGACUGGAAUUCCUGGUGUAGCGGUGAAAUGCGCAGAUAUCAGGAGGAACACCGAUGGCGAAGGCAGGUCUCUGGGCCGAUACUGACGUGAGGAGCGAAAAGCGUGGGGGAGCGAAACAGG